CUCGCGAUAGCUCAGUUGGUAGAGCGGGGGGACUGUAGAUCCUUAGGUCGGUGGUUCGAAUCCGUCUCGCGAGA